UGACAGUUGGGACAGUUAUUAUUGGUCGUAAUAAAAGCUGUAGCGCAAAAGGACCUUAUAUACUAAGGUUUUACAAUGAAUGAAUAUAAUAGUAAUGGAUAUGGAGGAGUUGUGACUGCUCAGAAUGGAAACUAUGUGUUAGAUACAUCAUCCAAUACAACAUUGGAAAAACCUAACUAUAAUACAUUAAGAAAAGAAAGACAUCAAAGAACAAGGGAUACUAUGAAAGCAUUGGAUCCCGCCUUAACCCAGAGUCUUAUGCCUGAAAAGGUGAGUAUUCU